GCAUGCGCUACUUGCACGCUAUGACGUCAACCAUCGCGCGAACCAUUCCCGUUUGUCGUCGCCAUUGCUGAAUUGGAUCAAGAGAAUACUGGCUACUGGAAGAAGUCACUACGCAACAGAUUCAGGAAUUGCAGGAAGUGUCAUGAACGUGAUAAUCCAUUAGGACAAAUGGAAGCAAAAAAAGGGACUACACCCAAACCAGACAAAGCUGCAGGCAAACACAUGUAUGGCAUAAAGAAAGUACCUUCCUGCAUCCCCAGAAGGUGAGGAUGAAGAAACGAUCAAUGCUCACAUCAAGAUGCUUCAGAAUGAAUCCAGAAAAACAAGACAGGACAGCUUGAUGAUAGACAAUCUACUAACUUUAGCCCAUAGGUGCAAGGGUAUCAUCAACAGCAACUGGACUGAAUCCUACUUGAAGGAUAUGUACCCUUACCUUUUCCGUGAAGAUGAGAGAAACAUAAGACUGCCCUGUUUAAAUUCCCUGUUUAUUCUUUUCAUUUGAUGUUGAAAGAGUUUGAGAGACUGUCAGAGGACCCAAUUAAGCAGAAGUUGGAAGCAGGACAUUUGAAUAUGCUGAUCCAUUACUAGAGAUAUGUAAGACUCCCAAGCAAGGUUUGGAGCUCAAAAACCGGAUCUUGGCUGCAGCAGCAGAAAAUGAAGACACCAGGAAAAUGAUCAAAUCAUGUGGAGCACUUCUGUUGAUUCCUACUAUUUUUGGAGAGAAGGCAUUGCUUUGUCAGCAUAGCCAGGAUAAAAAAGGGAACAAUCGCCAAAAUCAUCUACAAAAGUAAGCCUGACAGUGCAGGUCUGACUCUGAGCAGUGAUCAUGAAAAAUUCACGGAAAUUCUGCAAUCAUCCUAUAUUACAGCAGAGAAUGAAGUCAUCUGCGAGAAAACCACCUACCUCAUGUCAGCAGUCUCUGCUUAUGUUGACCCAUUAUGUAUUCAACUGAUCAUACACCCCCAAGAUGGGUAACACCCUCACAUUCAUUCAGAAGAUUCUGAUGAACAUAGAUUCCACAUCUCAACCCUCAUCCAAGGUCGUAAGAAGCCUGUAUGACUUAAAUGGUGUCCGAAAUGCUGAUUCCAGUAGUUCUUCAGUUUAAGAGAAAUUAAUUACUUGGGUGAUGCUACUGCAACACAGCUGAUCACACUUUCUCUUCGUGCAAUCACCUUAAGUGUUGUAUCUGUCUUUUAUGUGCAAAAUAGAUUGAAAUAGAUACGACAGGUUGACCGUGAAUUUAGACAUCAAGUAUGUGCAUUAUUUCGCUUUGCUUCUGUACAAAUUUCAGUGGCCCUUGAAUUGGAAAUCUUUUCAUAUCCCAAGAAUUACGUAUAAAUGCUUAAUGAAAUUUUUGUCACAGAUAAAAUAGGAUUUU